UACGAAGGGUGCAAACGUUGCUCGGAAUCAUUGGGCGUAAAGCGCACGUAGGCGGCCUGUUAAGUCGGAUGUGAAAUCCCUCGGCUCAACCGAGGACGUGCAUCCGAAACUGGCGGGCUCGAGUACUGAAGAGGGUCGCGGAAUUCCCGGUGUAGAGGUGAAAUUCGUAGAUAUCGGGAGGAACACCAGUGGCGAAGGCGGCGACCUGGGCAGAUACUGACGCUGAGGUGCGAAAGCGUGGGGAGCAAACAGG
rnacentral:rRNA from 1 species